GGGAGGGCAGAGAGAAGGGUUAGGGAGGGUAGAGAGAGGGGUUAGGGAGGGUAGAGAGAGGGGUUAGGGAGGGUAAAGAGAGGGGUUAGGGAGGGUAGAGAGAGGGGUUAGGGAGGGUAGAGAGAGGGGUUAGGGAGGGUAGAGAGAGGGGUUAGGGAGGGUAGAGAGAGGGGUUAGGGAGGGUAGAGAGAGGGGUUAGGGAGGGUAGAGAGAGGGGUUAGAGAGGGGUUAGGGAGGGUAGAGAGAGGGGUUAGGGAGGGUAGAGAGAGGGGUUAGGGAGGGUAAAGACAGGGCUUAGGGAGGGUAGAGAGAGGGGUUAGGGAGGGUAAAGAGAGGGGUUAGGGAGGGUAAAGAGAAGGGUUAGGGAGGGUAAGAGAGGGGUUAGGGAGGGUAAAGAGAGGGGUUAGGGAGGGUAGAGAGAAGGGGUUAGGAGGGUAAAACAGGGGUUAGGGAGGGUAGAGAGAGGGGUUAGGGAGGGUAGAGAGAGGGGUUAGGGAGGGUAAGAGGAGUUAGGGAGGGUAAAGAGAGGGGUUAGGGAGGGUAAAGAGAAGGGUUAGGGAGGGUAAGAGAGGGUUAGGGAGGGUCAAGAGAGGGGUUAGGGAGGGUAAAGAGGGGUUAGGGAGGGUAAAGAGAGGGGUUAGGGAGGGUAGAGAGAGGGGUUAGGGAGGGUAAGAGAGGGGUUAGGGAGGGUAAGAGAGGGGUUAGGGAGGGUAAAGAGAGGGGUUAGGGAGGGUAGAGAGAGGGGUUAGGGAGGGUAAAGAGAGGGGUUAGGGAGGGUAAAGAGAGGGGUUAGGGAGGGUAGAGAGAGGGGUUAGGGAGGGUGGGGAGAGGGGUUAGGGAGGGUGGAGAGAGGGGUUAGGGAGGGUGGAGAGAGGGGUUAGGGAGGGUGGAGAGAGGGGUUAGAGAGGGUGGAGAGAGGGGUUAGGAGCGUAGAGAGAGGGGUUAGGCAGGGUAAGGAGAGGGGUUAGAGAGGGGUUAGGGAGGGGGAGAGAGAUAGGGGUUAGGGAGGGGUUAGGCAGGGUAAGGAGAGGGGUUAGAGAGGGGUUAGGGAGGGGAGAGAGAGGGGUUAGGGAGCUGUGAAGAGGAGCCUUUCCCAUGGUGGAGGAACAAAGACCCUCAACCUAAUUAGUGAUUGGACCAUGAGCCGGCAGGGACCUGUCCCCAGCACCUGCCCUGUUCCGACCCCUCACUGAGACACACAGACACACACACACAGCCUGAUCUACCAGAGCAGUGGGAACAGGACACAUACACGUCUUCUCACAGGUAUCACAUCAUAUACACACAUGCACCCUUACAGUACUGAGGCCAGGUGAUCUGUGGGUAGGUGUGUGUGUGGUUGUUUGUGUGAGGUUAAGGAUGUUGGUAGCUUUCAUACAAUUUACAAUGAAGUAACAAAAUAAUUUCCUGGGACGUUAUAAUGUCAUCUCAUACAGUGCAGUUCAUAAAGCAGAUGAAGCGUACGUAGUUUACAUAAAAGUUGUACUUUCUUUACGCAAGCAAAACUUAAUUAUAUUGAACUGGGACAUUAAUGUCACCUGAAACUGAAGUGGUUUUCCCUACGAGGCCAAACAGCAGAGUCAUGUUUAACUCCUGUUUCCAUUAUGCAAACCUGAACUAUAGCAGAGCGCCUCGCCAACUGAUGAAUAUAGAGAGCUACCCUAUGCUUCCAUCGUGCAGCAUCUGCCCUGAGCGCUCAUUGCUUCUGAG
ensembl:lncRNA